rnacentral:rRNA from 1 species
UUAUCUGGGCUACACGCGGGCUACAAUGGGUGGGACAAUGGGUAUCGACACCGAAAGGUGAAGGCAAUCUCCUAAACCCAUCCGUAGUUCGGAUUGUGGGCUGCAACUCGCCCACAUGAAGCUGGAAUCUGUAGUAAUCGUGUCUCAAAAUGGCACGGUGAAUAUGUCCCUGCUCCUU